CCUACGGGUGGCAGCAGUGGGGAAUAUUGCACAAUGGGCGAAACCCUGAUGCAGCAACGCAGCGUGAGGGAUGAAGUAUUUCGGUAUGUAAAGCUCUAUCAGCAGGGAAGAAGAAAGACGGUACCUGGCUAAGAAGCACGGACUAACUGCGUGCCAGCAGCCGCGGUAAUACGUAGGGGCCGAGCGUUAUCUGGAUUUACUGGGGUUAAAGGGAGCGUAGACGGCUUUGUAAGUCUUAAGUGAAAGCCCGUGGCUCAACCGUGGAACUGCUUUGGAAACUGGAUAGCUUGAGUACUGGAGAGGCAGGCGGAAUUCGUAGUGUAGCGGUGAAAUGCGUAGAUAUUAGGAGGAACACCAGUGGCGAAGGCGGCCUGCUGGACAGAAACUGACGUUGAGGCUCGAAAGUGUGGGGAGCAAACAGGAUUAGAUACCCUAGUAGUC
rnacentral:rRNA from 1 species